GACGAACCGUGCAAACGUUAUUCGGAAUCAUUGGGCUUAAAGAGCGCGUAGGCGGCGUCGUAAGUUGGAGGUGAAAUCCCAUCGGCUCAACCGUGGAAGUGCCCCCAAUACUGCGAUGCUCGAGGGAGAUAGGGGCAUGUGGUACUUCCAGUGGAGCGGUGAAAUGUGUUGAGAUUGGAAGGAACGCCAGUGGCGAAAGCGACGUGCUGGACCUCUUCUGACGCUGAGGCGCGAAAGCUA
rnacentral:rRNA from 1 species